rnacentral:rRNA from 1 species
UACAGAGGGUGCGAGCGUUAAUCGGAAUUACUGGGCGUAAAGGGUGCGUAGGUGGUUGAAUAAGUUAGGUGUGAAAGUCCUGGGCUUAACCUGGGGACUGCGCCUAAUACUGUUGAGCUAGAGUACUGUAGAGGAAGGUGGAAUUUCCGGUGUAGCGGUGAAAUGCGUAGAUAUCGGAAGGAACAUCAGUGGCGAAGGCGACUUUCUGUACAGAUACUGACACUGAGGCACGAAAGCAUGGGUAGCAAACAGG